AAAGACUGACGCUCAUGCACGAAAGCGUGGGGAUCAAACAGGAUUAGAUACCCUGGUAGUCCACGCUGUAAACGAUGAUCACUCGUUGUUGGCGAUAUACUGUCAGCGACUGAGCGAAAGCAUUAAGUGAUCCACCUGGGGAGUACGGCGGCAACGUUGAAACUCAAAGGAAUUGACGGGGGCCCGCACAAGCGGAGGAGCAUGUGGUUUAAUUCGAUGAUACGCGAGGAACCUUACCUGGGCUUAAAUGCAGAACGACGUUUCGUGAAAGCGGAAUUUCCUUCGGGACGUUUUGCAAGGUGCUGCAUGGUUGUCGUCAGCUCGUGCCGUGAGGUGUCGGGUUAAGUCCCAUAACGAGCGCAACCCUUAUCAUUAGUUGCCAUCAGGUAAUGCUGGGAACUCUAAUGAAACUGCCUACGCAAGUAGUGAGGAAGGUGGGGAUGACGUCAAAUCAGCACGGCCCUUAUGUCCAGGGCGACACACGUGCUACAAUGGCCAGUACAGAGGGUUGCAAA
rnacentral:rRNA from 1 species